rnacentral:rRNA from 1 species
AGUGAACGCUGGCGGUAGGCCUAACACGUGCAAGUCGAACGGCAGCACAGUAAGAGCUUGCUCUUACGGGUGGCGAGUGGCGGACGGGUGAGGAAUACAUCGGAAUCUACUUUUUCGUGGGGGAUAACGUAGGGAAACUUACGCUAAUACCGCAUACGACCUACGGGGGAAAGCAGGGGAUCUUCGGACCUUGCGCGAUUGAAUGAGCCGAUGUCGGAUUAGCUAGUUGGCGGGGUAAAGGCCCACCAAGGCGACGAUCCGUAGCUGGUCUGAGAGGAUGAUCAGCCACACUGGAACUGAGACACGGUCCAGACUCCUACGGGAGGCAGCAGUGGGGAAUAUUGGACAAUGGGCGCAAGCCUGAUCCAGCCAUACCGCGUGUGUGAAGAAGGCCUUCGGGUUGUAAAGCCCUUUUGUUGGGAAAGAAAAGCAGCAGGUUAAUACCCCGCUGUUCUGACGGUACCCAAAGAAUAAGCACCGGCUAACUUCGUG